rnacentral:tRNA from 1 species
GGAGCUGUGGCUCAGUGAUAAAGCAUCUGCUUUGCAUGUAGAAGGGCCCAAGUUCGAUCCCGGGCAAUUCUA